AGAGUUUGAUCCUGGCUCAGGAUGAACGCUAGCUACAGGCUUAACACAUGCAAGUCGAGGGGCAUCAGGAAGAAAGCUUGCUUUCUUUGCUGGCGACCGGCGCACGGGUGAGUAACACGUAUCCAACCUGCCCUUUACUCGGGGAUAGCCUUUCGAAAGAAAGAUUAAUACCCGAUAGCAUAAUGAUUCCGCAUGGUUUCAUUAUUAAAGGAUUCCGGUAAAGGAUGGGGAUGCGUUCCAUUAGGUUGUUGGUGAGGUAACGGCUCACCAAGCCUUCGAUGGAUAGGGGUUCUGAGAGGAAGGUCCCCCACAUUGGAACUGAGACACGGUCCAAACUCCUACGGGAGGCAGCAGUGAGGAAUAUUGGUCAAUGGACGAGAGUCUGAACCAGCCAAGUAGCGUGCAGGAUGACGGCCCUAUGGGUUGUAAACUGCUUUUGUUUGGGAAUAAUCGACAUUACGUGUAAUGUUUUGCAUGUACCAUUCGAAUAAGGACCGGCUAAUUCCGUGCCAGCAGCCGCGGUAAUACGGAAGGUCCAGGCGUUAUCCGGAUUUAUUGGGUUUAAAGGGAGUGUAGGCGGUUGGUUAAGCGUGUUGUGAAAUGUAGAUGCUCAACAUCUGACUUGCAGCGCGAACUGGCUGACUUGAGUACACACAACGUAGGCGGAAUUCAUGGUGUAGCGGUGAAAUGCUUAGAUAUCAUGAAGAACUCCGAUUGCGAAGGCAGCUUACGGGAGUGUUACUGACGCUUAAGCUCGAAGGUGCGGGUAUCGAACAGGAUUAGAUACCCUGGUAGUCCGCACAGUAAACGAUGGAUGCCCGCUGUUAGCACCUGGUGUUAGCGGCUAAGCGAAAGCAUUAAGCAUCCCACCUGGGGAGUACGCCGGCAACGGUGAAACUCAAAGGAAUUGACGGGGGCCCG
rnacentral:rRNA from 1 species